UACAGAGGGUGCAAGCGUUAAUCGGAAUUACUGGGCGUAAAGCGCACGUAGGUGGCUGGGUAAGUUGGAUGUGAAAUCCCCGGGCUUAACUUGGGAAUUGCAUUCAAGACUGCCUUGCUAGAGUGUGGAAGAGGGAAGCGGAAUUCCAGGUGUAGCGGUGAAAUGCGUAGAUAUCUGGAGGAAAAUCAGUGGGGAGGGCGGCUUCCUGGUCAAAAACGGACACGGAGGUGCGAAGGCGGGGGAGCAAACAGG
rnacentral:rRNA from 1 species